AACGAACGCUGGCGGCGUGCUUAACACAUGCAAGUCGAACGCGAAAGGGACUUCGGUCCUGAGUAAAGUGGCGCACGGGUGAGUAACGCGUAGAUAACCUGUCUUUAUGUCUGGAAUAAUACGCCGAAAGGGGUACUAAUACCGGAUAUUCUUGCUUUAUAUAAGUUUUGCAAGGAAAGGUGGCCUCUGAAUAUGCUACUGCAUGAAGAGGGGUCUGCGUACCAUUAGCUAGUAGGUGGGGUAAUGGCCUACCUAGGCAACGAUGGUUAGCGGGUCUGAGAGGAUGAUCCGCCACACUGGCACUGGAACACGGGCCAGACUCCUACGGGAGGCAGCAGUGAGGAAUAUUGCGCAAUGGGGGCAACCCUGACGCAGCGACGCCGCGUGAGUGAGGAAGGCCUUCGGUCGUAAGCUCUGUCAAGGGAAAGAAGUAGCAUGGUG
rnacentral:rRNA from 1 species